AUUGAACGCUGGCGGCAUGCCUUACACAUGCAAGUCGAACGGUAACAGGUUAAGCUGACGAGUGGCGAACGGGUGAGUAAUGUAUCGGAACGUGCCCAGUCGUGGGGGAUAACUACUCGAAAGAGUGGCUAAUACCGCAUACGACCUGAGGGUGAAAGCGGGGGACCGUAAGGCCUCGCGCGAUUGGAGCGGCCGAUAUCAGAUUAGCUAGUUGGUGGGGUAAAAGCCCACCAAGGCGACGAUCUGUAGCUGGUCUGAGAGGGCGACCAGCCACACUGGGAUUGAGACACGGCCCAGACUCCUACGGGAGGCAGCAGUGGGGAAUUUUGGACAAUGAGCGCAAGUCUGAUCCAGCCAUGCCGCGUGCGGGAAGAAGGCCUUCGGGUUGUAAACCGCUUUUGUCAGGGAAGAAACGAGUUUCUCUAAUACAGAGACUUAAUGACGGUACCUGAAGAAUAAGCACCGGCUAACUACGUGCCAGCCGCCGCGGUAAGAC
rnacentral:rRNA from 1 species